rnacentral:rRNA from 1 species
UCCUACGGGGGGCAGCAGUGAGGAAUAUUGGUCAAUGGGAGAGAUCCUGAACCAGCCAAGCCGCGUGAGGGAAGACGGCCCUAUGGGUUGUAAACCUCUUUUGUCGGAGAACAAAACCCGGGACGUGUCCCGGACUGCGUGUAUCCGAAGAAAAAGCAUCGGCUAACUCCGUGCCAGCAGCCGCGGUAAUACGGAGGAUGCGAGCGUUAUCCGGAUUUAUUGGGUUUAAAGGGUGCGUAGGCGGUCUGUUAAGUCAGCGGUAAAAUUGCGGGGCUCAACCCCGUCUAGCAGUUGAAACUGGCAGA